AGUGAACGCUGGCGGUAGGCCUAACACAUGCAAGUCGAACGGCAGCACAGUAAGAGCUUGCUCUUGCGGGUGGCGAGUGGCGGACGGGUGAGGAAUACAUCGGAAUCUACUUUUUCGUGGGGGAUAACGUAGGGAAACUUACGCUAAUACCGCAUACGACCUACGGGUGAAAGCAGGGGAUCUUCGGACCUUGCGCGAUUGAAUGAGCCGAUGUCGGAUUAGCUAGUUGGCGGGGUAAAGGCCCACCAAGGCGACGAUCCGUAGCUGGUCUGAGAGGAUGAUCAGCCACACUGGAACUGAGACACGGUCCAGACUCCUACGGGAGGCAGCAGUGGGGAAUAUUGGACAAUGGGCGCAAGCCUGAUCCAGCCAUACCUCGUGGGUGAAGAAGGCCUUCGGGUUGUAAAGCCCUUUUGUUGGGAAAGAAAAGCAGCAGGUUAAUACCCCGCUGUUCUGACGGUACCCAAAGAAUAAGCACCGGCUAACUUCGUG
rnacentral:rRNA from 1 species